UGGGUCCGGCCCUGCUGUCCGUUGCCGGGUGCUGUUGGUGCUCCAGGGCGGAAUCCUUACAGCGUGGCAGUCCGCAGGAGGUGAUGUCACGCCAGCUGUCUCAGGUCGGGGGGGACUCCGAACACACGUCCACAUCAUUAAAAACUGAGCUCUGAAAGGUCUGAGAACAAACAGCCCCUGCAAAAAUAAAUCGAAGGCAACACAGAUGAGUCCUGACCACGCCAAGGAACGCCUCCAUCCACCAACUCAUCAAGGACCAGGACGAAACAGACGUAUAUUAGCAUACACACCGACAUGCCCCUUGCUCUGGACUCCUGUGGGGACUGGGGGCCUCAGUGCUGUCACGUCAGGAGCCCCACCCUGCCCAGCUUCAGGGCACCAAGGAGAAAAGGCCUGAGAUCUCCUGUGAGGUUCUGGAGUUUCACCCGUCUGUCAGGCCCUGAGGCCCAGCAUGCAGACAGCUUUCCCACAGCCCCAGAGAGACACCUUCCCCUCACGCAGCUCGGCUCAAUUACCUCCAUUCACAGGCUGACGGGCUUGACAGGGCGCUCUGCACUUCCUGCUCGGCCAGUUUCUCUUCCCACACAGAAACACUAUGCCGGGAUCUUCUCCCGCCCAGAGCCAGAGGAAUCUGAGAAGCUGCUAUCUCUUCCCGAGACCCACAACAGCGCCACCUUUCCGAGGAAUGAGGAAGAGCGGGUCCUCGCGUGCCGGUGGUGCACUCCUCCUGAGACGACACGCCCCUCCGGGCUGGCACAGCGCUGCUAUAAAGGAGCAAGGCGCCCGCUGCGCGUCUCACUCUGUCCCUGUGCUGUGAGCGAUGGCCAUGCCCUCUGGCCUGUGCUGGGCAGUGCUGCUGGUGUCCCUGCUGGCCAGCCCGGGGCUGGGCUGUGACUACUCUCUGGAGAGCUGUGGGGCUCACGCUGAUGGGGACAUACUGCUGGGCAUGCUCCUUCCCUUCCACGCCAAGGUGGACAACCUGCAGAGCCGCACAGAGCCAACUAGCUUCAACUGCACUGAGAUGGAGCAGUGGUGGUGAGGCCUGAGCCAUUAUAUGCUGGCUGUGGGAAAAAGCUGUAGUGGACAUCGACCGUGCUCUUUCCAAACAGA